CCUACGGGAGGCAGCAGUGGGGAAUAUUGGGCAAUGGGCGCAAGCCUGACCCAGCAACGCCGCGUGAAGGAAGAAGGCUUUCGGGUUGUAAACUUCUUUUCUCAGGGACGAAGAAAGUGACGGUACCUGAGGAAUAAGCCACGGCUAACUACGUGCCAGCAGCCGCGGUAAUACGUAGGUGGCAAGCGUUAUCCGGAUUUAUUGGGUGUAAAGGGCGUGUAGGCGGGAGCGCAAGUCAGAUGUGAAAACUCAGGGCUCAACCCUGAGCCUGCAUUUGAAACUGUGUUUCUUGAGUGCUGGGGAGGCAAUCGGAAUUCCGUGUGUAGCGGUGAAAUGCGUAGAUAUACGGAGGAACACCAGUGGCGAAGGCAGAUUGCUGGACAGUAACUGACGCUGAGGCGCGAAAGCGUGGGGAGCAAACAGGAUUAGAUACCCUUGUAGUC
rnacentral:rRNA from 1 species